rnacentral:rRNA from 1 species
GAUGAACGCUGGCGGCGUGCCUAAUACAUGCAAGUCGAGCGAACAGACGAGGAGCUUGCUCCUCUGACGUUAGCGGCGGACGGGUGAGUAACACGUGGAUAACCUACCUAUAAGACUGGGAUAACUUCGGGAAACCGGAGCUAAUACCGGAUAAUAUAUUGAACCGCAUGGUUCAAUAGUGAAAGACGGUUUUGCUGUCACUUAUAGAUGGAUCCGCGCCGCAUUAGCUAGUUGGUAAGGUAACGGCUUACCAAGGCAACGAUGCGUAGCUGACCUGAGAGGGUGAUCAGCCACACUGGAACUGAGACACGGUCCAGACUCCUACGGGAGGCAGCAGUAGGGAAUCUUCCGCAAUGGGCGAAAGCCUGACGGAGCAACGCCGCGUGAGUGAUGAAGGUCUUCGGAUCGUAAAACUCUGUUAUUAGGGAAGAACAAAUGUGUAAGUAACUAUGCACGUCUUGACGGUACCUAAUCAGAAAGCCACGGCUAACUACGUG